UCAUCAUCCUUGUAGCUGCUGUGUUUGCAGGUGCUUGUUACCUGGCACGAAGGAGAGGCAGACGCUACUCUGUUGAUUUCACUUCUCGGCCCGAUGAGACCAACAUCCCUCUCAGUGCCGUAGAGCCUGAGGCGCCAGCUGAUACUCUGCCUUACAACGGCGUGCAAACAUUUGAAACUGAAGAAACUCCUGCGAAUGAGCAGCAGGAAUCAGAAGAAAAACCCGAAGCACCUGAGGAGCCGAAAGCUGAGUCUGAUAAAUCUGUCGUGGAUCCCUCUGCUGAGUCUGCGGCCCCGCUUCCAGACGGCACACCGGAGGAACCAAAAGCGGACGCUGCCGAGCAGCAGGAGAGCCCCCCCGCACCUGUGGAGACCACAUGGAGGACAAAACUGACGACGAAGGCGCCGUCUCCAGUAAGACCUCUGUGGAGUCGCUGAAGGAGACAAAUGAGAACAACAGCAACAGCGCUGAGUCCAGUCGGAGGAGAGAUCUAAAGAUGAGGGACAUCGUCUGGGAAGUUCCUCUCAAGUGUCCUGUGU